AACAUCGACCUCUUGAACGCAUAUUGCGGCCACGGGUUAGCCCGUGGCCACGCCUGUCCGAGGGUCGGCU
rnacentral:rRNA from 1 species